rnacentral:snoRNA from 2 species
UGUGGAAUCUACUGCGUUCUUUCUGAGCGUUGCGGCGAUGUGAGCUUCAUUGAGUUGCAAUCUUCAACGAA